rnacentral:misc_RNA from 1 species
UUUUUUUUUUUUUUUUGUUUCAAACAUUUUAUUUCAUAAUUUUUUCUCUAAUAGUGCAAUCACAGUUACACGUUUUCACGGCAAGAUCCUAUGAGACAUACAUCGUGAAAUAUAAAUAGCUUAAUCUUAAUAGUGUUUCUAACUUCAAUGACGUCAUUAAAUCUAGAAGAAGGCCGAUCAAUUAGGCAAUACACAGAAUUCAACCUUACACUUAUUCAUUUUACACCUUACAAGAGAAAAGAAAGAAUCACAUACAAUUACUUUCACAAUACAGAUUUCGGGUUCAAAGUAUUUCUUAUAUUAUUUUGAGUAUAUCAAGAAUGUUUUAUAAUCUUUUACAUAUAUAAUAAAAUAAAAAUAGUUGUAAAUCUUGGUGUA